UGCAGUCGAGCGGACAGAUGGGAGCUUGCUCCCUGAUGUUAGCGGCGGACGGGUGAGUAACACGUGGGUAACCUGCCUGUAAGACUGGGAUAACUCCGGGAAACCGGGGCUAAUACCGGAUGGUUGUCUGAACCGCAUGGUUCAGACAUAAAAGGUGGCUUCGGCUACCACUUACAGAUGGACCCGCGGCGCAUUAGCUAGUUGGUGAGGUAACGGCUCACCAAGGCGACGAUGCGUAGCCGACCUGAGAGGGUGAUCGGCCACACUGGGACUGAGACACGGCCCAGACUCCUACGGGAGGCAGCAGUAGGGAAUCUUCCGCAAUGGACGAAAGUCUGACGGAGCAACGCCGCGUGAGUGAUGAAGGUUUUCGGAUCGUAAAGCUCUGUUGUUAGGGAAGAACAAGUGCCGUUCAAAUAGGGCGGCACCUUGACGGUACCUAACCAGAAAGCCACGGCUAACUACGUGCCAGCAGCCGCGGUAAUACGUAGGUGGCAAGCGUUGUCCGGAAUUAUUGGGCGUAAAGGGCUCGCAGGCGGUUUCUUAAGUCUGAUGUGAAAGCCCCCGGCUCAACCGGGGAGGGUCAUUGGAAACUGGGGAACUUGAGUGCAGAAGAGGAGAGUGGAAUUCCACGUGUAGCGGUGAAAUGCGUAGAGAUGUGGAGGAACACCAGUGGCGAAGGCGACUCUCUGGUCUGUAACUGACGCUGAGGAGCGAAAGCGUGGGGAGCGAACAGGAUUAGAUACCCUGGUAGUCCACGCCGUAAACGAUGAGUGCUAAGUGUUAGGGGGUUUCCGCCC
rnacentral:rRNA from 1 species